rnacentral:rRNA from 1 species
CCUACGGGAGGCAGCAGUGAGGAAUAUUGGUCAAUGGACGAGAGUCUGAACCAGCAAAGUAGCGUGAAGGAUGACUGCCCUAUGGGUUGUAAACUUCUUUUAUAUGGGAAUAAAAUGUUCCACGUGUGGGAUUUUGUAUGUACCAUAUGAAUAAGGAUCGGCUAACUCCGUGCCAGCAGCCGCGGUAAUACGGAGGAUCCGAGCGUUAUCCGGAUUUAUUGGGGUUAAAGGGAGCGUAGGUGGAUUGUUAAGUCAGUUGUGAAAGUUUGCGGCUCAACCGUAAAAUUGCAGUUGAAACUGGCAGUCUUGAGUACAGUAGAGGUGGGCGGAAUUCGUGGUGUAGCGGUGAAAUGCUUAGAGAUCACGAAGAACUCCGAUUGCGAAGGCAGUUCACUGGACUGCAACUGACACUGAGGCUCGAAAGUGUGGGUAUCAAACAGGAUUAGAUACCCGUGUAGUC